rnacentral:rRNA from 1 species
UACGACGUAUCAGAGUUUGAUCCUGGCUCAGAUUGAACGCUGGCGGCAUGCCUUACACAUGCAAGUCGAACGGCAGCACGGGAGCAAUCCUGGUGGCGAGUGGCGAACGGGUGAGUAAUACAUCGGAACGUGCCCUGUAGUGGGGGAUAACUAGUCGAAAGACUAGCUAAUACCGCAUACGACCUGAGGGUGAAAGUGGGGGACCGCAAGGCCUCAUGCUAUAGGAGCGGCCGAUGUCUGAUUAGCUAGUUGGUGGGGUAAAGGCCUACCAAGGCGACGAUCAGUAGCUGGUCUGAGAGGACGAUCAGCCACACUGGGACUGAGACACGGCCCAG